UAUUCUUAAUUGUCCAUGUUUAUUGUUUCACGUUUCCAAGCAAAAAUCUGAAAAGCCACUUUCCAAGUUUCCAAAAUAUGAAACGAGACUGGAAUGGAAAAAUGAAAAGAAGGCACCAUUUAGUAUUCAAGAGGCAUGAAGACAAAAAAAUCCUAAACCAUUUCCUCUUCUCAUCAUUUUCUAUGCAUAUUCAAUGUUCUCUUCUCUUAUCUCUACCUUUCUACGCCAUUUGAAGCCUAACAUCAAUAUAUCUGUCCAUCCAUUUUUGUCCUUCAAUGAUUAACUUAAGCUCACUGAUGUUUCGUUGAGUGACUAUAUUGGAGUUGCUGGAACCAAAAUUCUUCACUGCUGGGAGAUACUCUAUGAAGAGGUUUUGGAAAUCUCAGUGUCCUAUUGUUGAGAAGCUGACAAACUCAAUCAUGAUGCACCGGAGGAACAAUAGGAAGAAGCUCAAGGAUGUUGGUAUCAUCAAGCAUGCUAUGAAAACUAAUGCUCUUAGUGAUGAUGAAACAUAUCAAAGUUGUCAUCUGAGUUGAUUGAGUCCUACGACAAGGUAGAUGUACCGAAUAAUUAGGGAAAUCAUAAUAUACAACGCUAUUAUUUUUGUUGGUCUGCAGAAUCACCAGAAUAGAAGUGAUGUGGAGAAGUUAUACGAGUUAAGAGAAAGAAGUAAGUAAGGAAGGUGAAUAUUCUGCAUUGCAGAAAAUUUCUGCUUUAAUCAUAUCUAUGAAGGAUCUUAAGGAGCUUUUGAGCCUCCCAAAAGAAGGAUUUGAUGAGUCUGUUACUCAACAACAAUUGGAUGAGAAACAUGUUUGUUGACCCAUUGUGUAACAAGUCCUUAACUUUGAAAUAUCUGUUCUUAUUUUUUUAUUGAAAACUUGGCACUUGCUUUAGUAUUUCUUUUUUUACUAACGUGACAUGAAUCGAUUGUUACUUUAUAUUAUUUAUGACUUUGCUCAUUUAAUACUGCUUUAACUCUUUGCUCUUCAUAUCUAUCUCAUUAUUGUAAUUUGAAAUUUUGCAAAUAUGAUUAAGUCAUUGUGCUCGAUCAGCUAAUUUUUAUCUUAAAAGAGUAUUUUUGUCGUUGUUGUUGUAGGGAUGCCUUUCCAAAGACGUAUAGAGUUCCUGAAACAUGAGGGUGUUGCUGGAAUUAGUCAUAACAGUUUACUAUUUUUCAAAAUUGAGCCAGUUCAAGAUGGUUGAAUGACCGCAAUAUCCCUCAGUUACUAAGGUGGAUUAGAGGUCCAUUGAUUUUGCUAAAUUUUCGAGUGGCUGUGAGACUGAUUGGGGUAUGCCCAAAUAAAUGUAGUAUGGCUGCAAACUAUAUGAUACUGACACUCACUUGCAAAUAUGGAAAUAAGAGGUCCCAUUUGUUUUGAUUAAACAAAUUUUAGAAUUUUUACUUUCCCCACAUUGACUUUUAAAUGAGUUAAAAUUGGAUUUUUUAAAAGGAAU